rnacentral:rRNA from 1 species
AACGAACGCUGGCGGCGUGGAUAAGACAUGCAAGUCGAACGAGAGAAUUGCUAGCUUGCUAAUAAUUCUCUAGUGGCGCACGGGUGAGUAACACGUGAGUAACCUGCCCCCGAGAGCGGGAUAGCCCUGGGAAACUGGGAUUAAUACCGCAUAGAAUCGCAAGAUUAAAGCAGCAAUGCGCUUGGGGAUGGGCUCGCGGCCUAUUAGUUAGUUGGUGAGGUAACGGCUCACCAAGGCGAUGACGGGUAGCCGGUCUGAGAGGAUGUCCGGCCACACUGGAACUGAGACACGGUCCAGACACCUACGGGUGGCAGCAGUCGAGAAUCAUUCACAAUGGGGGAAACCCUGAUGGUGCGACGCCGCGUGGGGGAAUGAAGGUCUUCGGAUUGUAAACCCCUGUCAUGUGGGAGCAAAUUAAAAAGAUAGUACCACAAGAGGAAGAGACGGCUAACUCUGUGCCAGCAGCCGCGGUAAUACAGAGGUCUCAAGCGUUGUUCGGAAUCACUGGGCGUAAAGCGUGCGUAGGCUGUUUCGUAAGUCGUGUGUGAAAGGCGCGGGCUCAACCCGCGGACGGCACAUGAUACUGCGAGACUAGAGUAAUGGAGGGGGAACCGGAAUUCUCGGUGUAGCAGUGAAAUGCGUAGAUAUCGAGAGGAACACUCGUGGCGAAGGCGGGUUCCUGGACAUUAACUGACGCUGAGGCACGAAGGCCGGGGGAGCGAAAGGGAUUAGAUACCCCUGUAGUCCUGGCAGUAAACGG